rnacentral:rRNA from 1 species
CCUACGGGUGGCUGCAGUGAGGAAUAUUGGUCAAUGGACGAGAGUCUGAACCAGCCAAGUAGCGUGAAGGAUGACUGCCCUAUGGGUUGUAAACUUCUUUUAUAUGGGAGUAAAAUGUUCCACGUGUGGGAUUUUGUAUGUACCCUAUGAAUAAGGAUCGGCUAACUCCGUGCCAGCAGCCGCGGUAAUACGGAGGAUCCGAGCGUUAUCCGGAUUUAUUGGGUUUAAAGGGAGCGUAGGUGGGUUGUUAAGUCAGUUGUGAAAGUGUGCGGCUCAACCGUAAAAUUGCAGUUGAAACUGGCAGUCUUGAGUACAGUAGAGGUGGGCGGAAUUCGUGGUGUAGCGGUGAAAUGCUUAGAUAUCACGAAGAACUCCGAUUGCGAAGGCAGUUCACUGGACUGCAACUGACACUGAGGCUCGAAAGUGUGGGUAUCAAACAGGAUUAGAUACCCUUGUAGUU